rnacentral:lncRNA from 1 species
GGCAACUUUAUUCAGAAGGGGGCUGCCAAGGUUAAACAGAGCUAUUGAAGAAGAAAUCAUCCCUCACGCCUCCACCACAGGCCCAAAGAAGAACUAUAAGAGGAUCCUUUGGAAAAUGGAUUGAAUUUUGCUCUUGUGGCUACAAGGAAUAGAACCAGCAUCAAGGUUUAAGUUCCUAUGAAAGCAGAACCUGAAAGGAAGACUUGAGUUAAUUUAAGAGGUGAUCACGGUGAACAGAAGUGAUGGAAUCAGAAGAAUAAAACAGAAAAUCCAAUAAAGUUGGAUUAUGAGCUGGCUACCACUGAGAUUCACUGGGGUUCAGUCCUGCUGAGGAUUCUUUGAGUAAAUUAAUAGAGAAUGCCUUAUAUUGUCUCACCAAAGGACAAUUGAGUUGAUACACUUAUCUACUUCUUCUCAUCCCUCAUUAGUUGAGGGCUGCUGCCAGCUGUGUCAACACCUUCAAAAGUCUGAACUAUUUGUGCAUAAGCUAAAUGGGCUUUUGCAGUGUUGGGAAAAGCCCAGAGUCAGAAGAACAGAAAGACACUGUGGUCUGCAGUUGAGAAGGGAUGCCGGCAUUGCCCAUGAAAUGUGCAUGAAAUGUUGGCAUUGAACUAUGGCUGCACAAAAUCAGCCUCCUACGUGAGAGUUUCCCAAUUCUAAGAACAUUCUGAUGUUCUAUGCCACAUCUUGCAAUUGGGUAUGAACAAUUUUUCAAUAAUAGCAAAUAAAUGAGUCUUCUCAGUGUAUCUUCAUCUUGUCACCACUGCUGAAGAGCGUGAUUCUCCUCUAGCCUAGACAUGAGCUUCGACUGCUGUUCAGUUACUCCAGUAAACUCCAGGAUACUUAUUAAUGAUGGUAACAGCAGCCAACAAGUAUUAAGAACUUUUGCUAUUAAACUUCCCUGCUACCAUUGGGACCAAGAAUCUGGACAACAAAUUUUCUAUUUUUAUUUUUUAUUUUCCUUCCAUAAAUGCUGUUCAACAUAAACGGGCUGGGUUGAAUUGAAUCGGGCAGAGUUGACAGAACACAGGACCAGGAAGCAGGUCACCCAAGCUGCUGGCCCUGCCAUGGCUCCUGGUGGACGUGAGGGAGGUGAGUUUCCUCUCUAUGCUCCAGGUGGAGUUACCUUAUAUGGUCUUAAGAUCUGUCUAUUAAGAAGAGCACUUAGUGCAUUUACAUUUAAUGUCAUUACUGACAUAUUUGAGUUAAAU